CAUCUCAAGGUAAAAGAAAAAUCAAUACGGUCAGAUGCCAGGGCAAUUGCACAUAAUUCUGGACUGUCUUCCUGGAGUGGGAAUGAUGAAAUUAAUAAUUAAAAUCAUCAAACUAAUAUAGAUCUUGUUAUUUACAAUCUUUGACACCUUUUGUAUUUUCUACAUCAUGAGCAAAAUGAAAUUGCCAGGGAAGGCUAAACCCAUGCUUUAAAUUUGGAUUCAAAAUAUUGAGUUUUGAGAACAAUUUUGUCUAUUUCAGGUGAAAAGGCAAGCGGAAGGG
rnacentral:misc_RNA from 1 species